rnacentral:tRNA from 1 species
GAGGGUAUAACUCAGUGGUAGAGCAUGUGCUUAGCAUGUAUGAGGUCCUGGGUUCAAUUCCCAGUACCUCCA